CGAGCCAUGUCAUUUACCAAUGUUUUAGAGUAAAAUUUUCCUCUGUCGGAUAUUUGCAUGCCUAAAAACCCAAUUUGUUGAACCACCUUAUUAAGGGCAGAUUCACUCUUGGAAUCAAUUAGAACACCAAUGCCAGAUGACUUGUGCACAAAGUCAAUAAUUGGAAGUUUCUCAUUACGCAAGUGAUGUUCUAAUUGUACUUCCACAGAGGCCAGAUGACUUGUGCACAAGGUCAAUAACUGGAAGUUUCUCAUUACGCAAGUGAUGUUCUAAUUGUAUUUCCACAGACUCAUUAUAGGAUGACCGCAAGUGAUGCAACAACUUGGACAUGCACUGAACUCUUUCCUGGAUACCAUCCCUAAC
rnacentral:lncRNA from 1 species